rnacentral:lncRNA from 12 species
CUUUGAGCCAGUGCAGUUCUCAGAGUGGAAUAAAAAGGAAUUGAAGAAGCAAAAAUAAAUAUUAAAGCACGUAAGAAUUAAAUAUCACCUAUUCAAAUAGCAAUUAUGCCGUUGAAAACAAGAUCACCACACCUGUACAAGAAAAGACAACCAAGCCUAAAACAUCUGUUUGGAUCCACCUGCCAAGCACCUGUUCUGCUGUUUCAAUGCCAUUUGAUUGCUGGAGAUGUAGAGGCUCUUGUGAGUUGUAUGCAUUGUGCUGAUGGAAGAUGCUGCAGACUCAGGUCUUUAUCCACAGACCAGUUUCCAUGCUGGGAACUGCAGGAUGAAUCAGCCCGUGCUCCUCACCAUGGAGAAUUCAGCAGCUGCUUGGGAUCAUCUCCCAGAGAUGAAGGAGAUGUGGAAGUCAAACUGAGAGGUUCAGCAUCCCCUCUGCCUCCUCCCAAGUAGAACGGCAGAGCUGGCAAGCUCAGGCACUACCAGUGCUUUGUGGAAGCCAACAUAUGAAUUUGUUCUACAAAUGUGCCAGGGACACACUGAUCCAACAGUUAGAUCACUUCCAGAAGACACAGAGUUGGAUCUCUGAGCUGACUUCGAAUUCUUUAUUAUUACUACCCAGUAAAAUUAAAAAUUCCGCAUCAA